rnacentral:lncRNA from 1 species
AAAGGAGUCAUAAUGGGAGAAAUUUUAACAGUUUGAUUAAUUUUUUUAAAAAAAGGCUGGAGUAAAGUGGCAUGAUCUCGGCUCACUGCAGCCUCCGCCCCCGCCAGGUUCAAGUGAUUCUCCUGCCUCAGCCUCCCGAGUAGCUGGGAUUACAGGCGCAGGCCACCAUGCCCAGGUCACCCGUACUUCAUUUACCAGUCCUUGCUAAGGAUUAUUCAUUAAAACACACAACAGCAACAAUAACCACAAAAGCAACAAUAAAAAUACCUUUGAACUCACUCAAUCUUGAACUAUUGAACAUGCUAAGUCCGUGUCAUUGGCCUACUUAAUCAGCCCUCGAUUGUAACUUGAAGAAGCUUAUUGAUAAGAAAAUAAACUUCUCAUAAA